GACGAACGCUGGCGGCGUGCUUAAUACAUGCAAGUCGAACGAACAGGCGAGGCUCUUGUUGCUCUGACGAUAGGCGCGGGCGUGUGAGUAACGUGAGUAUACCGUCCCUAUCAGUGUGGUAACAUCUCGGGAAACCGGAUCUUAUACCGGAGAAGCUAUUGAUGCGCAUGGGGGGAUAGUAAGAGACGGUGGUGCUGUCUCUUAUCGCUGCAUCCGAGCUGCUUUGGGUAGUUGUUAAGGUAACGGCUUAUCAAGGCAACGAUGCGUAGCCGAGCUGCCAGGGUGAUCGGCCACACUGGAACUGAAACACGGUCCAGACGCCUACGGGAGGCAGCAGUAUGGAAUCGGACGCAGUGGGCGAAAGCCUGACGGAGCGACGCCGCGUGAGUGAUGAAGGUCUUCGGAUCGUAAAACCCUGUUAUUAGGGAAGAACAAAUGUGUAAGGAACUAUGCACGUCUUGACGGUACCUGAUCAGAAAGCCACGGCUAACUACGUG
rnacentral:rRNA from 1 species